UACGUAGGGGGCAAGCGUUGUUCGGAAUUACUGGGCGUAAAGGGCGCGUAGGCGGCACGGCAAGUCAGGAGUGAAAGGCCUGGGCUCAACCGAGGAACUGCUUUUGAGACUGCCGAGCUAGAGUGCAGAAGGGGCAACUGGAAUUCCCAGUGUAGCGGUGAAAUGCGUAGAUAUCAGGAAGAACACCCGUGGCGAAGGCGGCUCUCUGGGACGGUACUGACGCUGAGACGCGAAAGCGUGGGGAGCGAACAGG
rnacentral:rRNA from 1 species